AUGAAAUGAAGAAAACACCAAUCCAUUCAAUGAUACUUGAUACAGUUGGUUACUUACUGAAGUUGAGCAGUCUUGCCGCAACGAACGCAGGAUAGCAGUGCUGCCGAUUCCUUCGUAUCUCCAUCCAUACUCGGUAUUUCCUUUUUGAAUGAGGAGAGGAAAUGAUCGAAUCAGGAUCCAAAUUUCAAAUAAACUACACAAUCGAGAACAAAAAGAAGAUCGGAAAUGAAAAACGAGAAAAAAUUACUGGAACUGCACGACUACGCCGAUGAGUGAACGACGACGAAUCACGACGGCUAGGGCUUUUGGUUCGGUUCGUGCCGGGAAGAAAAAAAAAUCUUUAGAUCGAU
rnacentral:lncRNA from 1 species